rnacentral:misc_RNA from 1 species
AAAAAUAUUUGGUCUCGUGCCAAAUUUACACCUGUGUGCACCAUUGUCUGUAUUUGGUAGCUCGAGCGCGCUCCGGAAGCUCAACACUUCCAUUAGGGGCGCCUACCCUUGCGGGUCACAUCCCGCUUGGGUUGGGCUACCGCCUUUUUUUUGAAAAACCUUUUUUGUUUUGUCUUUUUGUCUGAACGUAGAGUUGAUCUUAAUUGAUUAAUGAUUUGAAAA